AGCGAACGCUGGCGGCAGGCCUAACACAUGCAAGUCGAACGAACUCUUCGGAGUUAGUGGCGGACGGGUGAGUAACACGUGGGAACGUGCCUUUUGGUUCGGAAUAACUCAGGGAAACUUGUGCUAAUACCGAAUGUGCCCUUCGGGGGAAAGAUUUAUCGCCAUUAGAGCGGCCCGCGUCUGAUUAGCUAGUUGGUGAGGUAACGGCUCACCAAGGCGACGAUCAGUAGCUGGUCUGAGAGGAUGACCAGCCACACUGGGACUGAGACACGGCCCAGACCCCGGGGGGAGGAAGCAGGGGGGAAUAGUGCGAAAGGGGCGAAGGCGGGAAGAGCCCAGGCGGGGUGAAUAAGGAAGUUUUGAGGGUUGAAAAUUUUUUUAACGGGGGCGGAUAAUGACGGUACCGGGAGAAGAAGCCCGGGCUAACUUCGUG
rnacentral:rRNA from 1 species